AGUGUUUUAGACCCUAGGGUGAAGAUGUAUCUGCUGGUGAUGAUUUUCUGAAUGAUUCAAGAAGUAAUUCACGAUCUAGCUGGUUUUGUGUGAAUGUUGGUUUCUAGAAGAUUUGAGAAGAUAUGUUUGGAGCGUGUUUGGAGGAUGAAUCAAAAAAGAAAAAGGACUUAAAGAGAUUUGGAAGACUUGAUGAAAGUGGAGUUUGAUGAGAAAAAGAAAAAGUG
rnacentral:sRNA from 1 species